UGCCAGCCGCCGCGGUAAUACGGAGGGUGCAAGCGUUGUCCGGAUUUAUUGGGUUUAAAGGGUACGUAGGUGGGCUAUUAAGUCAGUGGUGAAAGCCUGCAGCUUAACUGUAGAAUUGCCAUUGAUACUGAUAGUCUUGAGUAUGGUCGAGGUAGGCAGAAUUUAUGGUGUAGCGGUGAAAUGCAUAGAUACCAUAAGGAAUACCGAUAGCGAAGGCAGCUUACUGGGCCGUUACUGACACUAAUGUACGAAAGCGUGGGGAGCGAACAGGAUUAGAUA
rnacentral:rRNA from 1 species